CAGUGUGCUUACCUGCAGUCGAACGGUGAAGCAGAGCUUGCUCUGUGGAUCAGUGGCGAACGGGUGAGUAACACGUGAGCAACCUGCCCCGGACUCUGGGAUAACAGUUGGAAACAGCUGCUAAUACCGGAUACGAGCUGCGAAGGCAUCUUCAGCAGUUGGAAAGAAUUUCGGUCUGGGAUGGGCUCGCGGCCUAUCAGCUUGUUGGUGAGGUAAUGGCUCACCAAGGCGUCGACGGGUAGCCGGCCUGAGAGGGUGACCGGCCACACUGGGACUGAGACACGGCCCAGACUCCUACGGGAGGCAGCAGUGGGGAAUAUUGCACAAUGGGCGAAAGCCUGAUGCAGCAACGCCGCGUGAGGGAUGACGGCCUUCGGGUUGUAAACCUCUUUUAGCAGGGAAGAAGCGAAAGUGACGGUACCUGCAGAAAAAGCGCCGGCUAACUACGUGCCAGCAGCCGCGGUAAUACGUAGGGCGCAAGCGUUAUCCGGAAUUAUUGGGCGUAAAGAGCUCGUAGGCGGUUUGUCGCGUCUGCUGUGAAAUCCCGAGGCUCAACCUCGGGCCUGCAGUGGGUACGGGCAGACUAGAGUGCGGUAGGGGAGAUUGGAAUUCCUGGUGUAGCGGUGGAAUGCGCAGAUAUCAGGAGGAACACCGAUGGCGAAGGCAGAUCUCUGGGCCGUAACUGACGCUGAGGAGCGAAAGGGUGGGGAGCAAACAGGCUUAGAUACCCUGGUAGUCCACCCCGUAAACGUUGGGAACUAGUUGUGGGGUCCAUUCCACGGAUUCCGUGACGCAGCUAACGCAUUAAGUUCCCCGCCUGGGGAGUACGGCCGCAAGGCUAAAACUCAAAGGAAUUGACGGGGACCCGCACAAGCGGCGGAGCAUGCGGAUUAAUUCGAUGCAACGCGAA
rnacentral:rRNA from 1 species